GAGCACUGUUCGUGACCGCCCGGUCUGCCUGUGGCUGGUGGGUUCCAUUCCAGUGCCACAGCAAUUUCAGCACCACACAACUGACCGCCUGCCUGGUGGCUCUUGGUUUCAGGUCUUGAAGACACAG
ensembl:snoRNA SNORA54 small nucleolar RNA, H/ACA box 54